rnacentral:rRNA from 1 species
UACGUAGGGUGCAAGCGUUAAUCGGAAUUACUGGGCGUAAAGCGUGCGCAGGCGGUUUUGUAAGUCUGUCGUGAAAUCCCCGGGCUUAACCUGGGAAUGGCGAUGGAGACUGCAAGGCUAGAGUGUGUCAGAGGGGGGUAGAAUUCCACGUGUAGCAGUGAAAUGCGUAGAUAUGUGGAGGAAUACCGAUGGCGAAGGCAGCCCCCUGGGAUAACACUGACGCUCAUGCACGAAAGCGUGGGGAGCAAACAGG